rnacentral:tRNA from 1 species
GGGGAUGUAGCUCAGUUGGGAGAGCGAAGCGUUCGCAACGCUUAGGUCGGGGGUUCGAAUCCCCUCAUCUCCA